AAAGCUCUCGUGGCGGUGUGUUUAUUAUACCACAAUCUCUGGCACACAAUUAUUGCAAGGACUUUGUGUUUUUAAAGGAAACUCCAACCAUUCUCUGAGGGAGCCUCUGAGUCUAGCCCAGUCCCAGGACACUGUGUUGCAGACCAACUCAGCACCAACACACAACUCGCAACAAACUGCAUCUUUGGGUAUUCACUCCCAGGCUGAGGAAAAGCCAAGAAUUGCACAGACGGAAGAAGAUUGGAACAAGCUGCUGCAGCUCUCUCCCCUGUUCCACCUAGUGAGAGCUGUGGAGCUACAGCUGAGGGGCUGGGCAUGUGGGGCAGGGCUUCUUCAAGGAGAGCGCAGAGAUGGAGGCAAGAGUUUUGUAGAUGUUCUUGAUGCACAGUGGGAAUGUGAAGGGGAACUGAUCCCUUUGGAUUUGUCGGUCCUUAACCCCAGAGAGUUCCUGGUCUACCAGCACGGGUUAUUCCUGAUACAUACGUUGCAUAAUUUGAACCUGACUCCACCCAUUUCACUUCAUAUCGCUGCUAGUCUCCCAAACAACAACUACUUGAACAACGCCUUCAGGAAUUCUUUCUUUUAUCAGGAGCUAGAGGGGAUGCUCUUUGUUCGUCGCCAGAGGCUCCAUUCAGUUGGAGGCUUCUCUUUACUGCUGCUUCACUGUUUGUCCCACAUCAAAGUAAAAGACAUGACCACUGACUCCAGUCCUGUUUUUCAGAGGCUUUUCUACAAGGUAAUACAGGCAUGCCUUGGAGAGUUGUUUCAGACCAGGCUGGAUAUGCCCCCCUGUGGACAGGAGGCUAAUUGGUGUUCAGGAGGCUUACACAGGACUCUGUCAGACUCUCUGGAUUCCUCCUUGUUUGACAAGCUUCACAAACCAAGCAGAGGUUUGCAGAAGAAGUUGGACAACUCCAGGGGAAGCUCAGAGAAACAUCUUUGUUUUAUCAUCUUGAAAGUCUUCUGA
rnacentral:lncRNA from 1 species